rnacentral:rRNA from 1 species
UUGCAAGCAGGGGGUCAUCGGUUCGAUCCCGUUCACCUCCACCAUAAAUCGAUUCUGCACGACAACGGGCCUUGUGCCUUUUGUCGUGCUGGAUUGGAUAUCGGCUGUCGUUCUUUAACAAUCCAUAGAGUCGAAUCAGCGUUGUCGGCGGAAAGCACCUCGGUGCACCGUGCCGCCGCCAACCAAUGAUUGCGUCAACAGACUUCAACUCAUUCAGAGAUUGAAGAAAGGCAUAACGCGAAUUACUCAUAGAAGAUGAUGGUCAUUGACACGCGCCUGGCGACAGGCGUCAAAGUUAUGGGGUCAAGUGACUAAGUGCAUGUGGUGGAUGCCUUGGCGAUUACAGGCGACGAAGGACGUGAUAGCCUGCGAUAAGCUUCGGGGAGCUGGCAAAUUAGCUUUGAUCCGAAGAUUUCCGAAUGGGGAAACCCACCGAAAGGUAUCGCAUACUGAAUACAUAGGUGUGCGAGGCGAACCGGGUGAACUGAAACAUCUCAGUA